rnacentral:rRNA from 1 species
AUUGAACGCUGGCGGCAUGCUUUACACAUGCAAGUCGGACGGCAGCACAGAGAAGCUUGCUUCUUGGGUGGCGAGUGGCGAACGGGUGAGUAAUAUAUCGGAACGUACCGAGUAAUGGGGGAUAACUAAUCGAAAGAUUAGCUAAUACCGCAUAUUCUCUGAGGAGGAUAGCAGGGGACCUUCGGGCCUUGCGUUAUUCGAGCGGCCGAUAUCUGAUUAGCUAGUUGGUGGGGUAAAGGCCUACCAAGGCGACGAUCAGUAGCGGGUCUGAGAGGAUGAUCCGCCACACUGGGACUGAGCCACGGCCCAGACUCCUACGGGAGGCAGCAGUGGGGAAUUUUGGACAAUGGGCGCAAGCCUGAUCCAGCCAUGCCGCGUGUCUGAAGAAGGCCUUCGGGUUGUAAAGGACUUUUGUCAGGGAAGAAAAGGCUGUUGCUAAUACCGACAGCUGAUGACGGUACCUGAAGAAUAAGCACCGGCUAACUACGUG